UUUUAUGAACCCCUCCACAACUACCAGCGACAUCUACCGCCAACAUCCCCAUUUCAUCCCCAUCUACCACCCUUACAUCUGCCCUAUAUCUACCAACAUCAACCGUAAUCCUUGAAGUAAGAAAGCUGAUUCUCCGGCGGUAAGGUUACCAGCGACAAGCAAUUGAAGAACUUGAAGGAGAAGAAAUUAGUCGCGGAGAUUGAAAAAACAGCUAAAAUUGGGAAUGAGGCUGCCACCAAGAUAUUAGCUCGCCAGCUUGUUCGUCUUCGACAACAAAUAACAAAUUUGCAGGGGAGCCGUGCGCAGAUUAGAGGUGUAGCAACUCAUACACAGUCAGAUGGAGAAUUUGAGCAUGAAUUUGGAUCGGAUCUGGUGACGAUCGUUCCCGUUUCUUAAGGUGUUCGUCGGAAUCUGUUAUCUUCCGAGAAACGGGAGUAACCCGGAGAAGAUGGUGGCUGGUUUGUUUGUGGUGACGGAGAUCAAGAAUUGAAAGUGUAGUUUUACUAUGGUGGCUGGCGACGUCGUUGAUGUCAUCUAGGGUUUUUACUUACAGCAGCCAAAAUCCAAAUAUUUAGAUUCAUGGGUUCAUAACUGCUGAAAGCCAAAAGAAACCAUGGCGUUUGAUUUCUACAUCAACACAAUCUUCGUCUAUGUUCACAUCUAUGACGUUUUCCUAAGCUUUAAAUUCGAAAAUACUUUACAAAGCAGUUUAUGCUGGAAAUCGACACUGCGAUUGUUUCCGGGUUCAUCCCUGGUGCUGGGCACUGGGAAAACAUUAUAAAAGAAGGCAAUGGAUAGUGUUUCUAUGAGGUUAAGCCUUGGGAUAUCAGCGAAAACGAGAACUUCAGACACCUCUGAUUUCAGCGUGUCGUUUUCUUCAUGCCACUACAGCCUGCGGUUGAUGAGGUUGGGAACUUCCUUGACCAUACCAAACACCUACUCCAGGACUUCGACGACAAACAAAAGGCACAAAUUCACCUUUUUGCCAGCGAAGACGCUCCGCAUUACGCAUGGGAGCUUGAGAAGAUUGCCAUGAAAUACGGCUUAUUUUGCAACAAGCCGAGACCGAGGAGGAGGAGGAGGAAGGGGAAGGAUUGCAACAAGCAAAUUCGUAUACCAUGGGGCGGGUUGAAGCGGACUGGAUUUUAUUACAUUGUUUCGUUUUCGUUUGAGGAGGAGGAAGAAGACGAAGAGGCUGAGGCCGAGGAAGGGGAAGGAAAGUGAUUUGUGUUUGUUGGUUUUGGAAACUUUUUUUUGUAAACACUAAGUAGUAGUAGUAUUAGUAGUAGUUUUUUUAUUCAUUCAGAUUGAAACGAUACUUCAAGCUCUGGGAUAUGAAAACGGUAAGUCUUCAUUUUAAAAAUUAGUAUGAUGUA
rnacentral:lncRNA from 1 species